GAAGGUAUACCUCAGUGGUGGAGUACAAGCUUAACAUGCAUGAGAUCCUGGGUUUAAUCCCUAGUACCUCUA
rnacentral:tRNA from 1 species